rnacentral:snRNA from 1 species
AUACUUACCUGGCAGGGGAGAUACCGUGAUCACCAAGGUGGUUUUCCCAGGGUGAGGCUUAUCCAUUGCGCUCCGGAUGAGCUGACCCUAUGAUUUCCCCAAAUGUGGGAAACUCGACUGCAUAAUUUGUAGAGGGGGACUGCGUUCGCACUUUCCUCUG